AGUGAACGCUGGCGGUAGGCCUAACACAUGCAAGUCGGACGGCAGCACAGUAAGAGCUUGCUCUUACGGGUGGCGAGUGGCGGACGGGUGAGGCAUACAUCGGAAUCUACUUUUUCGUGGGGGAUAACGUAGGGAAACUUACGCUAAUACCGCAUACGACCUACGGGUGAAAGCAGGGGAUCUUCGGACCUUGCGCGAUUGAAUGAGCCGAUGUCGGAUUAGCUAGUUGGCGGGGUAAAGGCCCACCAAGGCGACGAUCCGUAGCUGGUCUGAGAGGAUGAUCAGCCACACUGGAACUGAGACACGGUCCAGACUCCUACGGGAGGCAGCAGUGGGGAAUAUUGGACAAUGGGCGCAAGCCUGAUCCAGCCAUACCGCGUGGGUGAAGAAGGCCUUCGGGUUGUAAAGCCCUUUUGUUGGGAAAGAAAAGCAGCAGGUUAAUACCCCGCUGUUCUGACGGUACCCAAAGAAUAAGCACCGGCUAACUUCGUG
rnacentral:rRNA from 1 species